GGCGCAUUCGUCUAGUGGCCUAGGAUACCGCCCUCUCAAGGCGGAGACAGGGGUUCGACUCCCCUAUGCGCUA
rnacentral:tRNA from 1 species